GACCCAGGGUUUGAGCUGCACUGCAGUCCAUUCUUGCCAUUUUCUCACAUUUCUGUUUACAAUAUUAAAUCAACAAAUACUGAACACAAGCACACGGACCUCACAUGAUCUCUGUCUGUCUGUGAUUCUCAGUAGCUCCAGGAAACACCAAAGCAGCCGAAGCAGCCAGCAGCGCCUUCUAUAAUCCCAGCAACCCUCACAGCGUCUACAUGCCCAUGGAUCAGCCGCCUCCGUACUUCCCUCCUGAGAAUCCAGACAAGAAGAACAUCUGAAGAACACGAACACGGACUCUUCUGGGGGAUCGGAGCGAUUCGCUCGUGUGCUGGAUGAUUCGUUCUGAUCGGUUCAUUUGAUUCGGUGUGUUUCUCUCUGUCAGAGCUGAAGCAGCCCAUUCAUAUAUACUGAUUUACUAUUUAGCCCGAAAAAAGUAACAAACACUUCUAUUUCUGCUUACUCCGUUUUUAAUCCUGGUGUGUGUGAUGCUGGACUUCUCUGUAAAUUCCUUUUGAUAAUAUAAUAACCAUAAAUCAUAGUAAAGUAGGUGAUAGUGGAUCAGUCCUGACAGAGUCGAUGAAUAAAGCUCUGUAUUCUCUCA